AUGGCCUGGACCCCCCUCCUCCUCGGCCUCCUGGCUCACUGCACAGGCGCUGCGUCCUCCUACGAGAUGACUCAGUCACCCUCGGUGUCAGUGACCCCGGGACAGACGGGUGGGAUCACGUGUGGGGGGAGCAGCAUUGGAAGUGAAAAUGAUCAGUGGUACCAGCAGAAGCCCGGUCAGGCCCCUGUGCGGGUCAUCUAUGUGAAUAGCAAGCGGGCCUCAGGGAUCCCUGGCCAGUUCUCUGGCACCAGCUCGGGGGGCACGGCCACCCUGACCAUCAGCGGGGCCCGGGCCGAGGACGAGGCCGACUGUCCCUGUCAGGUGUGGGACAGCAGUGCCCACAUGUCAACGGCUGAUGGGAAGGGAGACACACACCCGCUGCCUGGCCUGCACUCCGGCCUCCUCUGA